rnacentral:lncRNA from 1 species
CAGACCUCCAGGUCUGAGAUGAAAGCAGUUUAUUAUGUGCAACAGUAGCAGGACCCUGAGGACUGACAGCUUUGUGUUGUUUCCCUCUGCAAAGUUCACGAUUGGAGAGAAUGCAAGCAGAACAGAGACAGGAACUCUGAAUGUGGAGGGGAGAUACCUACUCGCUGCACUCCCAAAGCAAACAUUUUCACUGCUAAUCUGAAGUAUAUCCAGCUACGCAUUGAAGUGGAACCUUUUCUUCAUCAUCCGAGAUUGUGGAAAACACCAACAUCCUUGAAAACAUAAGCUGAAAUCAAGGACAGAGUGUGCAUAAAGUGGAGAAAACUGGUUUUCCGUGCAUUAAGGUCCCUACUGUUGGAAGUGAAGACUUUCACCAGGGUAUACAAUGAAAGGGUAUGGUGAAUUUUAAUCUGCUAUGGCUGCCCGUUAAUUUUAGCUCCUUAUAACAGACAAACGAGGAAAAGAAGACAUGAAGGCAAGUUACUCUCAGGAAUAGAAACUCUUUGAAAUCAAGGGUACCAUGGAUCCGCUAAUGUGCUUCCAUCCAGUAUUCUUCUGUCCACUAUGGCAAGAUGGUACUAGACAAACAGCAAUCACAGUCAGGAAUGACAUUUGGACCAUAAAAAAACCUCCUCAGAGAUAAACACGGAGUCACAGAACAGGCCACACACUUUGCAGACUGGUGUAAGAUGAGAGCGAUGAAAAGGA